GUUGCGAGCCGGGCCCCUCUGGCGGACGAUGUGUUAGAGUGCAUUGUCUGCGAUGUCGGAUCGCUCCC
rfam:Sphingopyxis bauzanensis strain DSM 22271 NODE_1_length_1336319_cov_55.7391, whole genome shotgun sequence.